AGCCUUCUUUGUUUUCCUUCCCGCCCAUUCUACCGUUUUAGAGAGAGAGAGAGAGAGAGAGAGGCGACCUCACUCUCAAGCCGCCGGUCUCCGGUCUUACUCUCCGACCACCUCCUAUCGUCGUUCAUCCACUUCCGGCGUCGUUCGUCACUCUCAGGCCACCCCUAAUCAAGCUGUUGCCUACACCUAAUCUGACGCUUUGACCACGUCGAUCUUCCUCAUUUUUUGGAGGUGGUUUUGCAGUCUCGUGGCCGAGAUCAAGCUGGGGGCAACAACGAUGAUGACUUCAUUUGUGAUGAAGGUGAUGAGUCCAUGGAUGAGCAAAGUGACGAAGAGGAAGCUAUGAUUAGCACCGACACUGAUAUAGAUCCAGAUAUAGAGCCUUAAUGCAGGAUUUGGAGUCUCAAACUUCGUUCUCCUUCUCUUACAUCAGGUGCUCAGUCAUGAGGAUGAGAGACAGAUCUUGUAAAAAUUUAGAUUGGUGUACGAGAUGUCUCCGGCAGAUUUCUUUGCAACAGAUCUUGCGAUAUCACAGCUUGCUUCAAGUAUCCUUGCUUUGCGGGUUGGAGAUGUGUGGUUGGGUUGGUAGCGGAAGCGACCCGAUCUGUUCUCUUCUCCGUGAUUCGCCAGCUUCUUGAUUGUUCUUUUGUCAGCGUUCGAUAUAUCCCACUGCGUGGUGGUUUUGGGCUGUUGAAGCGAGGUGACAAUGUGCAAUGUUCAAAUGGCAAGGAGGGCUUUCACAUAGGGUGAUCCUGCUACUUUGUUUUGUCCAGGUGGAUUUACAUCUUGGUGACUGGUUGGACAAAUCACAUAGAUAUGGGGAUUUGUUCAGGUCAUUACAUAAAAGGUUCAUCGGAACAUUGAGAUUGAUUCACGCCGAUUUUGGGAAUUGUUCCUUUGCUCAUUCUCAUCGGUCACUGAGGUAAUACUCAAUCUUUUUUUAUACUCUCUAGGGAGAAAGUGGGAUACCCUUGCAUCCCUCCUUGAUAUUAAAUGUGUGAAAUUUGUUUUGUUGUGGUGCUUAUCAAGGGAGAAAGUGCGAUGCAAUGGCUCCCCCCAUUUUAAUUAUAUUGGUUUUUUACUUUUGGUUAUUUAUUUUUUAUACUCGCUAAGGGAGAAAGUGGGAUACCAUUGCAGCCCUCCUUGACAUUAAUUUGCUUUGUUUGGAUUGGAAUUUGAAAUUUUUUUUGAAAAAUAGUAGGGAUAAUAAGUGGAGAGAGAUAGAGAGAGAAAUGUUGAGAGUAUGAGGAAUCUAGGGGGAAUUUUUUGAAAAAUUCUUUUUAAGUUGCAAAGAGAACAAAGCUUUGAAACUUGUUUUGUUGUGGUGCUUGUCAAGGGAGAAGUGCGAUGCAAUGGCUCCCCCCCUUUCAAUUGUAUUGGUUAAUUACUUUUAGUUAUUUCUUUUUUAUACUCACUAAAUGAGAAAGUGGGAUAUCCUUGCAUCCCUCCUUGACAUUAAAUGUGUGAAACUUGUUUUGUUGUGGUGCUUGUCAAGGGAGAAAGUGCGAUGCAAUGGCUCUUCCCUUAUAUACACUUCAUAAUUGUUAGUUCUUUCAUACUCGCUAACAGAGAAUAAUGAUUUCUAAGAGACGUAAAAACUAUUGAUCACUAAGUGAUGAGAAAAAGUAGUAAGAACCCUAAAAGUUUGAAUUUAUGAUAAUGAAAUUGAAAAAAUAGUGGUUCCUAUUGGUUUAAUAACAAUUUAAGUGUACGUAAUAGAUCCGAAACGUGCCUCUUACCUCGAAUCGAUGUUGCCUGGGUCUGCUAUGAAUCAAGUCUUACGUACUUGAUUAAAUAUAUAUUUGAAUCAAUGUUGCCCUAAAUUUAAGAGUUGGUCAAUUUUAUUAAUCUAGAAACUUGCAUGUUGCUUCGGUUGGAAAUAAAAAAAGCUUAUUUUUUUGAUGGGAUGGAAAUAAAGAAAUGGUUCAUACAUUCUACAAGGGUAUGAAUGUUGGCCAUGAGAAACAAAAAUGACGGUUAGUAGGUAUUCGGACUACAAGUCAUGUGAAUAAAAAAUACUGAAACAUGUGACGGUUAGUAGGUGUUUAGACUACUAGUCAUGUGAAAAGAGAAUAGUGAUUCCAAGUAGAUGUAAAGACUACUGAUUACUAAGUGAUGAGAACUCUGAAAGCGUGCAUUUGAGGUAACGAAAUCGAAAAGAAAUGGUUCCUUUUGGUUUGAGAUACGAAUUAAAGUGUGUAGCAGAUUUGGAACGUGCUUGUUUCCUCGAAUCGAUGUUGCCUGGAUCUGUUGUGGAUCGAAUCUUUCAUACUAGAGACCCAACGAAUUUUUGUUGCCUCGAAUAAAUGUCGCCCUAAAUUCAACAGUUGGUCAAUUUUAUUAAUCUAGAGACUUUGCAUGUUGCUUUGGUUGGAAAUAAAAGAAGCUUGAUUUCUUGAUGGGAUGGAAAUAAAGAAAUGGUUCCUACAUUCUACUGGUGUAUGAUUGUUGGCCAUGAGAACAUACAUCACGGUUAGUAGGUGUUCGGACUACUAGUCAUGUGAAUAAAAAAUAAUGAAACACAUGACGGUUAGUAGGUGUUUAGACUACUAGUCAUGUGAAAAGAGAAUAGUGAUUCCAAGUAGAUGUAAAGACUACUGAUCACUAAGUGAUAAGAACUGUGAAAGCGUGCAUUUGAGGCAACGAAAUCGAAAAAAAGUGGUUCUUUUUGGUUUGAGAUACGGAUUAAAGUGUUUCGGAACGUGUUUGUUUACUCGAAUCGUUGUUGCCUGGAUCUGUUGUGGAUCGAAUCUUUCGUACUAGAUCCAACGAAUUUUUGUUGCCUUGAAUCAAUGUUGCCCUAAAUUCAAGAGUUGGUCAAUUUAAUUAAUCUAGAAACUUGCGUGUUGCUUCGAUUGGAAAUGAAAGAAGCUUGAUUUCUUGAUGGGAUGGAAAUAAAGAAAUGGUUCCUACAUUCUACUAGGGUAUGACUGUUGGCCAUGAGAUACAUACAUGACAGUUAGUAGGUGUUCGGACUACUAGUCAUGUAAAUAAAAAAUAUUGAAACACGUCGUAUUAAAUCCAACGAAUUUUUGUUGUCUCGAAUCAAUGUCGCGCUAAAUUCAAGAGUUGAUUAAUUUUAUUAAUCUAGAAACUUGCGUGUUGCUUCGGUUGGAAAUAAAAGAAGCUUGAUUUCUUGAUGGGAUGGAAAUAAAGAAAUUGUUCCUACAUUCUACUAGUGUAUGACUGGUAGCCAUGAGAAAAAUACAUGACGGUUAGUAGGUGUUCGGACUACUAGUCAUGCGAAUAAAAAAUACUGAAACAUGUGACGGUUAGUAGGUGUUUAGACUACUAGUCAUGUGAAAAGAGAAUAGUGAUUCUAAUUAGAUGUAAAGACUACUGUUCACUAAGUGAUGAGAACUCUGAAAGCGUGCAUUUGAGGUAACAAAAUCGAAAUAAAGUAGUUCCUUUUGGUUUGAGAUACGGAUUAAAGUGUAUGUUACAGAUUCGGAACUUGCUUGUUUCCACGAAUUGUUGUUGCCUGGAUCUGUUGUGGAUCGAAUCUUUAAUACUAGACCCAACGAAUUUUUGUUGCCUCGAAUCAAUGUCGCCCUAAAUUCAAGAGUAGGUCAAUUUUAUUAAUCUAGAGACUUGCAUGUUGCUUCGGUUGGAAAUAAAAGAAGCUUGAUUUCUUGAUGGGAUGGAAAUAAAGAAAUGGUUCCUAUAUUCUACUAGGGUAUGACUGUUGGCCAUGAGAUACAUACAUGACAGUUAAUAGGUGUUCGGACUACUAGUCAUGUGAAUAAAAAAUAUUGAAACACGUCAUAUUAAAUCCAACGAAUUUUUGUUUUCUCGAAUCAAUGUCGCGCUAAAUUCAAGAGUUGAUAAUUUUUAUUAAUCUAGAAACUUGCGUGUUGCUCCGGUUGGAAAUAAAAGAAGCUUGAUUUCUUGUUGGGAUGGAAAUAAAGAAAUUGUUCCUACAUUCUACUAGAGUAUGACCGGUAGCCAUGAGAAAAAUUACAUGAUAGUUAGUCGGUGUUCGGACUACUAGUCAUGCGAUUAAAAAAUACAGAAACACGUAACGGUUAGUAGGUGUUUAGACUACUAGUCAUGUGAAAAGAGAAUAGUGAUUCCUAGUAGAUGUAAAAACUAUUGUUCACUAAGUGAUGAGAACUCUGAAAGCGUGCCAUUGAGGUAGCGAAAUCGAAAAAAAGUAGUUCCUUUUGGUUUAAGAUACGGAUUAAAGUGUAUGUUACAGAUUCGGAACGUGCUUGUUUCCUCGAAUUAAUGUUGCCUUGAUCUGUUGUGGAUCGAAUCUUUAAUUCUAGACCGAACGAAUUUAUGUUGCCUCGAAUCAAUGUUGCCCUAAAUUCAAGAGUGGGUCAAUUUUAUUAAUCUAGAGACUUGCAUUUUCCUUCGGUUGGAAAUAAAAGAAGCUUGAUUUCCUGAUGGGAUGGAAGAAAAGAAAUGGUUCCUACAUUCUACUAGGGUAUGGCUGUUGGCCAUGAGAAACAUAAAUGACGGUUAGUAGGUGUUCAGCUACUAGUCAUUUGAAUAAAGAAUACUGAAACACGUGACGGUUAGUAGGUGUUUAGACUACUUGUCAAGUGAAAAGAGAAUAGUGAUUCUAAGUAGAUGUAAAGACUACUGAUCAUUAAGUGAUAAGAACUCUGAAAGUGUGCAUUUGAAGUAGCGAAAUCGAAAAAAAGUGGUUCCUUUUUGUUUGAGAUACGGAUUAAAGUGUAUGUUAUAGGUUCGGAACGUGAUAGUCUACCUAAAUCGAUGUUUCCUGGAUCUGUUGUGGAUUAAAUAUUUCGUACUAGAUCCAACGAAUUUUUGUUGCCUCGAAUCAAUGUCGCCCCAAAUUCAAGUGUUGGUCAAUUUUAUUAAUCUAGAAACUUGUGUGUUGCUUCUGUUGGAAAUAAAAGAAGCUUGAUUUCUUGAUGGGAUGAAAAUAAAGAAAUGAUUCCUACAUUCAACUAGGGCAUGACCGUUGACCUUGAGAAAAAUACAUGACGGUUAGUAGUUGUUCGGACUACUAGUCAUGUGAAUAAAAAAUACUGAAACACGUGACGGUUAGAUGUAAAGACUAUUGAUCACUAAGUGAUCAGAACUUUGAAAUUAUGCUUUUGAGGUAACGAAAUUGAAAAAAAUUGGUUUCUUUUAGUUUUAGAUAUGGAUUAAAGUGUAUUUUAUGGAUUCGGAACGUGCUUGUUUCCUUGAAUCGAUGUUGCCUGGAUCUGUUGUGUAUCGAAUUUUUCGUACUAGAUCCAACGAAUUUUUGUUGCCUCGAUUUAAUGUCGCCCUAAAUUCAAGAGUUAGUCAAUUUUGGGAUGAAAAUAAAG